rnacentral:rRNA from 1 species
GUGGGGAAUAUUGGACAAUGGGCGCAAGCCUGAUCCAGCAAUACCGCGUGUGUGAAGAAGGCCUGAGGGUUGUAAAGCACUUUUAAUCGGGAGGAACACCUGUAGGCGAAUACCCUGCAGUAUGACAUUACCGAUAGAAAAAGCACCGGCUAACUCCGUGCCAGCAGCCGCGGUAAUACGGAGGGUGCAAGCGUUAAUCGGAAUUACUGGGCGUAAAGCGUGCGUAGGCGGUUCGCUAAGUCAGAUGUGAAAGCCCCGGGCUUAACCUGGGAACGGCAUUUGAUACUGGUUGACUAGAGUUGAGUAGAGGAGAGUGGAAUUUCAGGUGUAGCGGUGAAAUGCGUAGAGAUCUGAAGGAACACCAGUGGCGAAGGCGACUCUCUGGACUCAAACUGACGCUGAGGUACGAAAGCGUGGGUAGCAAACAGGAUUAGAAACCCCUGUAGUCC